GCCGAAACCAAAAUCAAAUGGAUAGCAUAUGUAUAUUCUUCUCAAAACAUUGGAGAGCGAGCAUACAUUGUAGAGAAAGUAAGCAAGAGAGAGAGAGAUGGUGAGCAAUAACCAUCCUAGGAAAAUGUGAGGGAACGAAGUCCUUCUGUCUCACUCAGUGAGAACACUUCCUCAUUGGAAUAAGAGUUCCAAACGGUGACUUGGCUCCCCUCUCUCUCUGUCUCUCUCUCUCAAAUUGAGACUACGACGAGUGGAGUACAGAAAUACACACAGUGGAGUGAGAUUCUCUUUCAGAGUGGAAGAAGGAGUCCUUUCUCUCUCUCUUAAAAUGUCAACCAGCAAAGGCUUGGAGGAAGGCCGCACCCUUCCUGAACAUAACGCAACCUCUUGUUUCAAGUAGCACUCGCUCAGAUGAAGAAAACAGGAAGAAGGGUUCCAUUCUUCUCCUCAGUACCUUUGUCGCAGUUUGCGGUUCUUUCAAAUUUGGUUGCGCUGUCAGUUCUCUAUGCAACCUUAACUAUCCAUCUGUUGUGAGAUUUUUCCCUUUUCUUACACAUAAUUCGAGCUCGAGUUCUCUCUAUGCUCGACUUUAAUGGUGCCACUUGAUGAUCAAUGACAGUUGGGUUUUUCCUCUCCUACUCAGUCAGCUAUUAGAAGUGACCUUGCUCUUUCUUUAUCAGAGCACAUGGGAUCUCAACUUCACCAAAGAUUUAUUGUACCGGAGAGUAGAAAGAAAAAAUGGGCAGCACACCAACAAGAUUUCAAACUAUUUUGACCACAUUUGGGAUCCAUAUUAUGGAUAGAGGUAGGCGGAAAUUCAAAGAAUCAGAUUUAAUUUUGCAGUACUCUGUUUUUGGAUCUUUCUUGCCAAUUGGUUCGAGAGUAGAAAGAAAAAAUGGGCAGCACACCAACAAGAUUUUCAAACUAUUUUGACCACAUUUGGGAUCCAUAUUAUGCAUAGAGGUAGGGGGAAAUUCAAAGAAUCAGAUUUAAUUUUGCGGUACUCUGUUUUUGGAUCUCUCUUGCCAAUUGGUUCGAUGGUUGGUGCAUUAAUGUGUGGAAGUGUAGCUGAUUAUGCUGGCCGAAAAGGGGUAACUAUCAUUUAAUAUAUUUUAAUUGAUGAACACAUUUAGGGAUCAAAUCUUCUUGGCCUUUCUCAACUCCUAUAAGUUGGUCUAUUGCUUGCUUGUUGCGAUGAUUAGGCAAUGAGAUUAGCUGCUAUCUUUUGCCUCUUGGGAUGGACAGCCAUAAGCUUUUCCAAGGUUUGCUAUCUUCUCUCAGCAAUGGAAGCUUGGAAAUACAGUGGAAAAAUACAGUUAAUUUUAUCAUGAAAGACGGAAUGCAGUGGAAAAAAGUGUAAUAAUUGUGCAACAUUAACAAUUUUUGAAGUUCAUCUCUUAAAAGCUCGAAAGUUGGAAUAAUGAAGUCUGGUAACACGUCACUCAUUCACCAUUCACAAAAGAAAUGGUACUUGAUUCAAAUUCCAAGCCCUACUCUUAAAAGCUCGAAAGUUGGAAUAAUGAAGUGUGGUAACAGGUCACUCAUUCACCAUUCACAAAAGAAAUGGUACUUGAUUCAAAUUCCAAGCCCUAAGAAUCUGAUUUUUCUAAUUUGAAUUUUUAAAUGGCUACGUUCUGAAAGGGUGCUUGGUCGUUAGAUAUUGGAAGACUAUCUGUGGGCUUUGGAGUCGGUGUUUUUUCUUAUGUGGUUUGCUCAAAUUACUUCACUACAGCAACUGAGCAUUUCAAAUUGACUUGUUGUCAUUCCAUAUUGACUAUACUUUGAGCAUGAUUUUUUAAUCAAAUUGCUCUAUAGGUUCCUGUCUACAUAGCAGAGAUAACACCCAAGACACUCAGAGGAGGCCUCACUACAGUGAGCCAGGUAACAGAAUAGCUAGACGAUCCAUAUGAAUGAAAAAAAUGGUAAUGAUAAUAGACCGUGUUUAUUGCAGGUUAUGCUCAGUUUUGGACUCUUUGUUGUGUACGUGUUGGGAACAUGUUUGACAUGGCACACGCUGACACUUACUGGUACCCUGCUAUAUCAGUGAAAGUGAAUAUGUUUUUUUUAUUGAUUUUCACGUGAAAAAAAAUGCCGAACUUUGGUUUUAGGCGGCUGGAAUAGAAACAAGAGAACAUUAAAGAAUGUAUUUUAGAAAAUCAGGGAAGAGACUUCAGCAGAAAAUAUUCAGGAAGUGGCAGGAAAUAAACAUGCAUUUUAUGUUUCAUGGCUUGAUCAUGAGUUCUAUAGUCCUGGCUCUAAACUGAAAUCACCCCUUCAUAACAGGAAAUUAAAUUUGGAGAAACCGACAGUUGGGUAAUGAAAGACACUUGUGUUGUGCUCUAAAAAGGGUUUAUCUUGUUGAUUUCUUAACGGUUUUUUCAUGUUUGUCACUUCCAAGUGCCGGCAUAGUUCCGUGCCUGAUAUUACUAGUGGGUCUGUUUUUGGUUCCAGAAUCUCCAAGAUGGCUGGUAAGUCUAAAGUCUUAAACUAUAUGAAGUCUAUCCCAUCAUGCUAUGUAGAUCUGAAAUACUCAAUCCUUUUUUUCAACAAAGAAACUGACGAAAUGUCAAUCUUUUGGUUCCGCUUUCUUUGAGAUAAAUAGUGAUGCAAUUUUUCACGUCAUGUUACAUGGAUUUCUUAGAUAAUGAAAUUUUCUGAAAGAAUAAAAAAACCAAAGGAAAAUCAUGUUGUAGGCUAAACUAGGCCGGCAAAAAUAAUUUGAAGUGACACUGCAGAGACUGCGAGGCAAGGAUGCCGAUAUUUCUGAAGAAGCAGCUGAAAUUGAAGAGCUGGCCUGAAUCUACUCCAACAAUUUGGUGGACUCAAUGGAAUCAGCUUUUAUGCAACCCAAACUUUUGUAAACGCAGGCAAGGAACACUUCUACCUUGAAGUUUGUCAAGACCUUGCUGGAUUAUCUCUAUACCCUAAACUAUUUUAA